rnacentral:rRNA from 1 species
UACGGGGGGGGCAAGCGUUGUUCGGAAUUACUGGGCGUAAAGGGCGCGUAGGCGGGUGGACAAGUCACUCGUGAAAGCCCACGGCUCAACCGUGGAAUUGCGGGAGAUACUGGCAGGCUUGAGUCCGGGAGAGGAGGGUGGAAUUCCCAGUGUAGCGGUGAAAUGCGUAGAUAUUGGGAGGAACACCGGUGGCGAAGGCGGCGCUCUGGACCGGUACUGACGCUGAGGCGCGAAAGCUAGGGGAGCAAACGGG